UUCUUAUUGGAUGAUGACUGUCACGUGUCAUCUUCUGAUUGGAUGUCAAUCUCAUGAAAGAUGAAAUAAAUCGUUGUUUUCAUUGACCAAUAAAAACAUGACACGUGACCGUCAUCAUCC
rfam:Glycine soja cultivar W05 scaffold5083_22, whole genome shotgun sequence.